CAGCCGCCGCGGGAAUACCGAGGGUGCAAGCGUUAAUCGGAAUUACUGGGCGUAAAGCGCGCGUAGGUGGUUUGUUAAGUUGGAUGUGAAAUCCCCGGGCUCAACCUGGGAACUGCAUCCAAAACUGGCAAGCUAGAGUAUGGUAGAGGGUGGUGGAAUUUCCUGUGUAGCGGUGAAAUGCGUAGAUAUAGGAAGGAACACCAGUGGCGAAGGCGACCACCUGGACUGAUACUGACACUGAGGUGCGAAAGCGUGGGGAGCAAACAGGAUUAGAUACCCCCGUAGUCCCUGUCUCUUAUAC
rnacentral:rRNA from 1 species